UGGCUCAGAUAGUAAAGAAUCUGCCUGCAAUGCAGGAGACCCAGGUUCGAUUCCUGG
rnacentral:tRNA from 1 species